GGGAAAAGGGAUAACUACUUCAGGCGUGACAUAGGGGUGGUAUGGGCACCUUGGAAAAAGAAAAAUUUUAUUUUUGGUGUAUUCUUAAGAGACGGGUUAGUAUCUAUAGUGUCAUUGUAGCAGGAGCAUCAUCUGGAUUGUCUGGCAGUUAACCGUAGUUUCAACAAGAGUUUGAUUACUGUCCUUACCAGCAUUUUAAAUCAUCCUAAAGAACCACCCUCCUAGAAGGUUUGUUGGGUCCCAUCCCUUCCAGCUUUGGACUGGUACAUGAGCUACUUUUCUUAUGUUUGAAGAGAUUUCUAGAACUGCUUUUCCAUUAUUGUCUAUGUUAAGACAGCAAUUAGAGAUAUUAAACUUACCACAGACUCCACCCUCUUUUGCUAAUAAGUAG
rnacentral:lncRNA from 1 species